rnacentral:rRNA from 1 species
AUUGAACGCUGGCGGCAGGCCUAACACAUGCAAGUCGAGCGGAUGAAGGCAGCUUGCUCCUGGAUUCAGCGGCGGACGGGUGAGUAAUGCCUAGGAAUCUGCCUGGUAGUGGGGGAUAACGUCCGGAAACGGGCGCUAAUACCGCAUACGUCCUGAGGGAGAAAGUGGGGGAUCUUCGGACCUCACGCUAUCAGAUGAGCCUAGGUCGGAUUAGCUAGUUGGUGGGGUAAAGGCCUACCAAGGCGACGAUCCGUAACUGGUCUGAGAGGAUGAUCAGUCACACUGGAACUGAGACACGGUCCAGACUCCUAAGGGAGGCAGCAGUGGGGAAUAUUGGACAAUGGGCGAAAGCCUGAUCCAGCCAUGCCGCGUGUGUGAAGAAGGUCUUCGGAUUGUAAAGCACUUUAAGUUGGGAGGAAGGGCAGUAAGUUAAUACCUUGCUGUUUUGACGUUACCAACAGAAUAAGCACCGGCUAACUUCGUG